rnacentral:rRNA from 1 species
ACGAACGCUGGCGGCGUGCUUAACACAUGCAAGUCGAACGGAAAGGCCCCUUUGGGGGUACUCGAGUGGCGAACGGGUGGGUAACACGUGAGUAACCUGCCCUUGACUUCGGGAUAACUUCAGGAAACUGGGGCUAAUACCGGAUAGGAAUCCUUACUGCAUGGUGGGGGUUGGAAAGCUUCGGCGGUUUUGGGUGGACUCGCGGCUUAUCAGCUUGUUGGUGGGGUAGUGGCUUACCAAGGCUUUGACGGGUAGCCGGCCUGUGAGGGCGACCGGCCACAUUGGGACUGAGAUACGGCCCAGACGCCGACGGGAGGCAGCAGUGGGGAAUAUUGCACAAUGGGCGGAAGCCUGAUGCAGCAACGCCGCGGGCGGGAUGACGGCCUUCGGGUUGUAAACCGCUUUCAGCAGGGGCGAAGCUUGUGGUGACGGUACCUGCAGAAGAAGCACCGGCUAACUACGUG